rnacentral:tRNA from 3 species
GGGCGAUUAGCUCAGCGGGAGAGCGCUCCGCUCACACCGGAGAGGUCACUGGUUCGAUCCCAGUAUCGCCCACCA